ensembl:lncRNA
GGAGGGAGACCGGGAGGGGGGUAGCUGGAUCCCCGGUCCCCCCUUGGGGGGGGGGCUUGUGUGUAAAUGUGUAAAUAGAAGGAAAACUGAAGAGGCCCCCCAGGGAGAUUCUUCAGGUUGAUUUGUUUAACGGACAAAUGUGGUGAAAUGAAAUGGGCAAUUAUGUCUCUAUUUUUAACACUUUCUUCCUUUCUUUUUAACAAACAAUCAGUUGUUUUUUUUAAAGGACAUGUGAAUGUUUUUUCUAAUGAGAAAAAGCCUCCAUCUUGUAUUAAUUUACUUUUACUGUGCAUAUAAAGUACAUGGGCGCUUCAUAGCUCACCGGUGUGCGACCCUGAAUGAUGUGUAAAUACAUAAUGUUUAACCAAAGCUGUUGUCUCUCAGGGCCAGAUAUAUCUAUUUUUGUACUUUCUAGGAUGUUUUUGAGUGGGCAUUAUGGGUUAAAUGGUUCAUAAGUUGUUUGGCAGAAUGCUUUGGAGGGUGAUGUUGAGUCAAUAUAUCAGAAGGCCUCUACAGAACAGAUCAGUUUUAAAUGAUUUCAUCAUCACAGCACACACUAACAACCACCCAGGCUGGAUAUGGAGCUCUGGGCAAGUUUAUUCAGAUCAUUGAGACUUCAAUCACAAACAUCACGGGAUUCCCUCGGGUGAGAGUAGAGACGGAGUAGAGAUGGAUGCAAUAUAUAGUUCAGCCAAUGACACUUACGGUUGCCCGCUUGCCCGGGGCAAGUAAAAAAAAUGUUUGGGCAAGUUGAGAUUUUUUCUGGUUGCCCGAACGGGCAAGUGGAUUUUGGGUGGAUGUUAAUAUAAAGGCUAUUUAUUCAAAUGUUUUUAGAAACUGCAGAACAACCUUUUGUUCCGCAAAAUCACACAAAAUAGAAGUAUGUCAGCGCGCUGUCUUCUCUUCUCUCGGAAAGCGAGUUAACAGACACUCAUCGCUUCAGUGCGAAUAUAGCCCUGCCUUCUGUCAAUCACUCGCAGUGCGGUCUCUGGCAGUGAUUCGUAGGGGAACACUGUUGUUUUUCUUUGGUCGUCAUGAAAAAACCCAUAAGGGGUAACACUGUCGUUUUUUAUUGGUCGUCAUGAAAAAAAACAUAAGGGGUAACACUGUUGUUUUUUAUUGGUCGUCAUGAAAAAAAACAUAAGGGGUAACACUGUUGUUUUUUAUUGGUCGUCAUGAAAAAUAACAUAAGGGGUAACACUGUUGUUUUUUAUUGGUCGUCAUGAAAAAAAACAUAAGGGGAAACACUGUUGUUUUUUAUUGGUCGUCAUGAAAAAAAACAUAAGGGGUAACACUGUUGUUUUUUAUUGGUCGUCAUGAAAAAAACCAUAAGGGGUAACAGUGUUGUUUUUUAUUGGUCGUCAUGAAAAAAAACAUAAGGGGUAACAGUGUUGUUUUUUAUUGGUCGUCAUGAAAAAAAACAUAAGGGGUAACACUGUUGUUUUUUAUUGGUCGUCAUGAAAAAAAACAUAAGGGGUAACACUGUUGUUUUUUAUUGGUCGUCAUGAAAAAAAACAUAAGGGGUAACACCGUUGUUUUUUAUUGGUCGUCAUGAAAAAAACCAUAAGGGGUAACACUGUUGUUUUUUAUUGGUCGUCAUGAAAAUAAACAUAAGGGGUAACACUGUUGUUUUUUAUUGGUCGUUAUGAAAAUAAACAUAAGGGGUAACACUGUUGUUUUUUAUUGGUCGUCAAUGAAAAAAACAUAAGGGGUAACACUGUCGUUUUUUAUUGGUUGUCAUGAAAAAAACCAUAAGGGAAAUAAUAUAAAUACACAAAUACAUUUUAAUGUCAUGUAUAUCCUCUUUAUUGAUGAUUGAUUAUUGUGUAUUUUCAUCGCCUCAGUGGUGCAGUGGAGUGCACUCUGCCUAACCCACUGGAGACCAUGGCUCAAUAUCUGUGGAAAACACAAUAUCUUUAAUUUUAAACGUAAUGCUAUCAUGUCUAUUGCAUAUAUAACCUCAGACAUAAUUAACAUAAAAAUCUCAGUGGGAAGGGGAGAGAGCUGUGAGCUAACCCCCUGGAGACCGGGGUUCAAGUCCGGUUGAUGUCUUCUGUUGGAAGACUCUUAUCACUAUUUCAUGUUAAUUAUUAAGUCAAGUAUAACCUUUGUGAUGACUUUAUCCGGUGUCUUGAUGGUGCAUUGUUAAGUUCGGAGGUUCGCACUCUAAACAGCUCCUGUUCGGAUCCCGGCAGGGGUGCCAGGGGUGCCACUGUUGUUAUUUAUUGGUCAACAUGGAAAAAACAUGAGGGGUAACUCUGUCGUUUUUUAUCGGCCGUCAUGAAAUAAAUAUAAGGGUUAACACUGUCGAUACUUAUCAAAUAAAACAUAGGGGGUGACACUGUUGUUUUUCUUUGGUCGUCAUGAAAAAAACACAAGGGGUAACACUGUCGUUUUUAUCAAAUGAAACAUGAGGGGUGACACUGUCGUUUUUCUUUCGUCGUCAUGAAAAACAUAAUAGGUGGUAACACUGUUGUUUUUUAUUGGUCGUCAUGAAAAAAAACAUAAGGGGUAACAAUGUUGUUUUUUAUUGGUCGUCAUGAAAAAAAACAUAAGGGGUAACACUGUUGUUUUUUAUUGGUCGUCAUGAAAAAAAACAUAAGGGGUAACACUGUUGUCUUUGUCAAAUAAAAUAUAAGAGGUAACACUGUCGUUUUUUAUUGGUUGUCAUGAAAAAAACCAUAAGGGAAAUAAUAGAAAUACACACAUACAUUUUAAUGUCAUGUAUAUCCUCUUUAUUGAUGAUUGAUUAUUGUGUAUUUUCAUCGCCUCAGUGGUGCAGUGGAGUGCACUCUGCCUAACCCACUGGAGACCAUGGCUCAAUAUCUGUGGAAUAUACAAUAUCUUUAAUUUUAAACGUAAUGCUAUCAUGUCUAUUGUCAUAUAUAACCUCAGACAUAAAUAAAAUAGAAAUCUCAGUGGGAAGUGGAGAGAGCUGUGAGCUAACCCCUGGAGACCGGGGUUCAAGUCCAGUGGAAGUCUUCUGUUGGAACACUCUUAUCACUAUUUCAUGUUAAUUAUUAAGUCAAGUAUAACCUUUGUGAUGAGUUUAUCCGGUGUCUUGAUGGUGCAUUGUUAAGUUCGGAGGUUUACACUCUAAACAGCUCAUGUUCGGAUCCCCGCAUAAAUGUCGACAGGGCUGCCACUGUUGUUAUUUAAUGGUCAACAUGGAAAAAACAUGAGGGGAAACUGUCGUUUUAUAUCGGCCGUCAUGAAAUAAAUAUAAGGGCUAACACUGUCGAUACUUAGCAAAUAAAACAUAGGGGGUGACACUGUCGUUUUUUAUCGGUCGUCAUGAAAAAAACAUGAGGGGUAACACUGUCGAUAUUUAUCAAUUAAAACAUAAGGGGUAACACUGUCGUUUUUAUCAAAUGAAACAUGAGGGGUGAUACUGUCGUUUUUCUUUCGUCGUCAUGAAAAAAAACAUAAGGGGUAACACUGUUGUUUUUUAUUGGUCGUCAUAAAAAAAACAUAAGGGGUAACACUGUUGCCUUUGUCAAAUAAAAUAUAAGGGGUAACACUGUCGUUUUUUAUUUUUCAUCAUGAAAAAAAACAUAAGGGAAAUAAUAGAAAUGCACACAUACAUUUUAAUGUCAUGUAUAUCCUCUUUAUUGAUGAUUGAUUAUUGUGUUUUGUCAUCGCCUCAGUGGUGCAGUGGAGUGCACUCUGCCUAACCCACUGGAGACCGUGGCUCAAUAUCUGUGGAAAACACAAUAUCUUUAAUUUUAAACGUCAUGCUAUCAUGUUUUUUGCACUGUCAUAUAUAACCUCAGACAUAAUUAAAACAUAAAUCGCAGUGGGAAGUGGAGAGAGCUGGGAGCUAACCCCCUGGAGACCGGCGUUCAAGUCCGGUUUAUUUCUUCUGUUGGAAGACUCUUAUCUCUAUUUCAUGUGAAUUAUAAAGUCAAGUAUAACCUUUGUGAUGACCCUAUCCGGUGUCUUGAUGGUGCAUUGUUAAGUUCUGAGGUUAACACUCUAAACAGCUCAUGUUCGGAUCCCUGCCAAAAGGUUGACAGAGGUGCCACUGCUGUUAUUUAUUGGUCAACAUGGAAAAAACAUGAGGGGUAACACUGUUGUUUUUUAUCGGUCGUCAUGAAAAAAACAUAAGGGGUAACAAUGUCCAUAUUUAUCAAUUAAAACAUAAGGGGUAACACUGUCGUUUUUAUCAAAUGAAACAUGAGGGGUGACACUGUCAUUUUCCUUGGUCGUCAUGAAAAAAAACAUAAGGGGUAACACUGUUGUUUUUUAUUGGUCAUCAUGAAAAAAAACAUAAGGGGUAACAAUGUUGUUUUUUAUUGGUCGUCACGAAAAAAAGAAUAAGGGGUAACACUGUUGUCUUUGUCAAAUAAAAUAUAAGGGGUAACACUGUCGUAUUUUAUUGGUCAUCAUGAAAAAAAACAUAUAAAAAAAAUAAAAUAAAUUGUCCUUGUCAAAUAAAAUAUUUUCAUCAGUCAUCACGGCAAAAAAACAUAAGGGGUAACACUGUCGUUUUUUAUCAAAUGAAACGUAAAGGGUAACACUGACAUCGUUUUUUAUCUGUCAUCAUGAAAAACCCAUAAUGGGUAACACUGUCGAAAUGUAUCGAAUAAAAACAUAUGGGGAAUGGUAAUUAAACAGCCUCCACUUAUUCCAACAGUCCAAACCAUAUCAUUCUGUGACAAAAACUCGCAAAUAACAACUUAAGAAGAAACGUCCCCUUUUCUUUUAACAACCAAAAAUGAAGUAUUACCUUUGUGAUUUUUGUCCACAAAGUUGAUUCUGAUCGAAUAAAACCACCAUAAACAGAUUAUCCAGUGUCUGGGCCAAAUUUUGCAACUAAACAUGGUGUUUUCAAUCAAUGAAUAAGAGAAGGUUUCGUAGGGAAUAGGUAAAUUGCCUUCAAUCAGAAAACAUAUUCUUCAGCGCAAUCUAUUGCCAUAUAUUUAUUUGCGAGUGUUUGGCUUGGAUUGGUGCAUUCGAUUAUAUUUGCCCUGAACUUUAGAUAGUGUCAAGUGUCAAAAUUGUAAGAUAUCUACCUUUAUUUGUGUCUCAUAGUAAGACAGCGCUCCCAACUGAUAACGACCAACUGAUAAUUAUUUCAGGUGGAAAUGUUAUAUUCCACUUAUGCUGUGUUCCAUGGCUUUAUUCACUCUAACCAAGUAUUAUCCCCAUUGAAUAUUUCACUUGCACAACAAUCUUUCUUUUGGCACAAAGAUGACAUUAUCACCCUUGCAGUUGUGGAGAUAUACUCUAUUUACUUUGGGUAUGAUCUUUCCUGAAAAUUUUUUUUCCUCAUAUCAAAAAUGGCAUAGAAUAUCGAUAUUUUUCCAGGUAUAGUGUUGAAGUUAGAAAAUCCAGUAUCGUGACUGACAACACUACUAGAAACGCGAUUUGAUUAGAGCUACAAGAAACUUGAAUGUUAAAAUAGACAUAUCGUUGUUACUACCUCUGACAUUUAGUUAUGUACAUUUGCUUAAAUCAUGCAGGUCUACAUAUAACUUGGCGAUAGCUUUUAUAGGUUGCAAUGGUGGACUGAAAUCACUUCAUGGCACGAUGUGACCGCUCGAUAAAUCAGUAAACAAAGAGAAGUUUGUUAUUUUUGUGUGUGGAAGCUAACAUUCAGCUUCAGUCUGAGCUAGGAUGAUUUUUCUGAGCCCCCCCAAAACCAGGCCGCGUGCCUGGCAAAAAGAGUCCCGUUCACGAUUCUGAUUAUAAUUUGGGCAAGUGAACAUUACAUUCGGGCAAGUUAAACCUGACCUGUACUUGCCCGAUGGGCAAGUGCUUUUGAAGUCUUAGUGUCAACCCUAGUAGUUGGAUUAGAGAGAGUAGAGAUAGUUAGAUUAGAGAUAGAGAUAGAGUAGAUAGAUUAGUAGAUAGAUUAGAGAUAGUUUAGAGAUCGACAUGGUGGAUUCUGCUAUUCCUUCUGGUGAUCUCUGACCUCAGGGCAAACAGAUCACUACUCAUAUACUGUGUAUACUAUAUUCUCAAAUAUGUACUCCAUAUUAAAGCUGAAAUGAUGAAGCCUUUACUUGAUGUUUGACUCUUUAACUUUAUCAGACAACAUUCAGCUUCAGUUAUCU